rnacentral:rRNA from 1 species
UACGUAGGGUGCAGGCGUUAAUCGGAAUUACUGGGCGUAAAGCGUACGCAGGCGGUUUGCUAAGACAGGUGUGAAAUCCCCGGGCUUAACCUGGGAACUGCGCUUGUUACUGGCAAGCUAGAGUGUGGCAGAGGGGGGUAGAAUUCCAGGUGUAGCAGUGAAAUGCGUAGAUAUCUGGAGGAAUACCGAUGGCGAAGGCAGCCCCCUGGGUUAACACUGACGCUCAUGUACGAAAGCCAGGGGAGCAAACGGG